AUUGAGAGCAACAGAGGGACUGAGUGUGAGUGUGAGGAAUGAGACAAAGGAGAGUAUAAAGCAGAGAAUGAGAGAGGUGGUUACAAGAGAGUGGAAGAGGCAAAUGAAUGAGAAAGCAAGCCUUAAGAUAUAUAGAAAAUGGAGACAGGAGUUGGGAGGACAAGAGGAGGUAUACACCAACAACCAAGCCUCAGAAGUGCUAUUCAGAUGCAGGACAAACAACAUGCAACUAAAAGACAGAAACAGACACCGGCAAGAGGAAACCAAGUGUGACAUGUGAAGCUGAACACUAAGACCUGCGACACUUCCUGCUCUGGUGCCCGGCCUAUGCAGAGGAAAGAAUAAAGUGCGUGAGGCUGCAACAGCCUUACGAGGAAGAAGAGGACGACACCAUUGGAAAAAUUUUAUUUGAAAAUGAACACACCGAACAAACGAAAACAACAGUACACAAGUUUUGGACAAUAAGAGAAAAAAGAAUGAAAGAAAAAGGAAAACAAUAGACCCAGACAGUAGACACAUCAGGGAGUGCCGUUACAAAGGCAAAACUCCCGACCGACUACUACUACUACUACUUUGAAGCUGCGUUGUGGGGGAUUGCCUGUGGCAGGGUGUGUGAAGAGAGGAAGGAAGGAGAAGGCCUAAAGGGUGGUAUGUGUGUCGUUCUCAGGGGUAACAAUGGAUAAGCGCAAACACUCACUAGUUUUAGAUAGGACUUAAUUAAGGUGUGGAAUGGUGGAGUCUGUGUUUCCCCGUGUGGGUGGAAACAAUUAUUAUGUCGGUGCUACUUAUUGCCAGGUGAGCAUGUUAGUUUACGGUGUUAAUGUUAACCCGUGUUCACGGUAUUGAUAAGUGUAAUUAGUGAUGUAAGAUACAUAAGCUAACCUCUAAUCAGUGGACCCUGUCCUAUGACCCUUAGUUCACCAUCAGAAUCUCUAAACAAUAAUUACCUCAAGUAACUUUCUUAAAGUCGCAUUACCUAUAUUACUUGGACAGGUGAUGAUCCUGUGUACGAUAAUGGUGCCUUAUAAGACUGGGUGAAUAAACUACUAAUUUUACUCUGUGGUUUAAAUGAUCAAUAAUUAAUUCUACUUUGAGGUAUAAUGAACCUACAUAAUUUAUUAAAAGAGUGCCCAUGAACGGCACGACAAUGACGUCAUGAAUGCGUCGCCCAAUCAGCUGCCUCUCUGAGCUACAACCUUCCCUCUCUGAGUUACACCCUCCCCGCAACCUCCUUUCUGAAUGCAGGUGCAGCGCAGGUUGUCCGGAGGGUGUAAGUCUCCAGGUUGUAAGGAGUUACACCCUUGGGCUUACAACCUGCUUUCUGAAUAUGGCCCAGCUGGGGCCUGGAUGUGCCCAUCUUCGACGCUGCUGGUGUCCACCCCUCAAGAUGGGAGUCACCUGCUCCCCCCUCAAGAAGGCGAGGGACAUCACCACGCCAGGGCUCAGGGGCUUGUGGUGUGACUAUGGAGACUCAGUGAAGCCAGCCAGUGCAAUGUGCCACGGGAGUGCCAUAGUGCGAGUGGGAUGUGCCAGGGCAGACAGAGGCUUGAAGAGGGCUGGUGGACACCUCCCCCUCCCUCUCUGACUCUUCAAGGGAUGCCUUGGACUCAUCAGUGAAAAGUUUUGAGGCGAUGGACCAACUGUGCUUCACUCCACCUGGCUGCCCAAUGUUACCACCUGCAGCCUCAACAGAUGGUGCAGCAGAAGGGGCUUAGGAUGGCGAGGAACAAGGCAUAUAUUUAGUGGUCCAGGAAGGCAGGGGAAGGCACCUCAUAAGACCUCAAGAGAGAUGAUCAAGACUCCACCAGCAGCAGCAUCAAGUCUGUCGAGCAUUGUAGUUGAAACCUCAAUGUCAGGGCACCCACGCCAUCACAAGGGUCUGCCGCUGGUGGUGCUGUCGGACCCACCAUGCAGCUGACCUUACCUUUACUCACAAGGGUCGGUAUUGUUAAAUGCUUCCUUCUUGCAUGUCAGCUAUUUCCAAAGGGCCGGAAAGUAGAUCAGUCAGGUUGUCAUGAGUGUUCAGGCUCAGGUAGGUUAGGUACAGCAGAAGGAUUAAACUACCUCUAGAAAUGCCCAAAACUCCCAUGAAAGCCCUGUUAAAUAUAUGUCUCUUGGGUUCAGGGUACAGAAGAAGGGUCACACCACCACCAGGGCCAUCAAACUACCCCUUAAAAUGCCCACAACUCCUAUGAAAGCCCUGUUAAAUGUGUGUUUCUUGGGUUCAGGCCACAGAAAAAGGGUCACACUACCACCAGGGCCAUCAAACUACCCCUUAAAAUGCACACAACUCUUAUGAAAGCCUUGUUAAAUACAGUAAACCCUCGAUAUAACAGACUAAUUGGGGGGAAUUUAGUCCCAGGCGCGAUUGGUUCAAAAACUAUUCUCGGUUCGUUCCCGUAGAUUUCUGACCCCCUGACCCCUAUACAUUAUUACCUUUCUCCAUAGCUUCUCAGUUCCACCUCUCUUUCUUAUCUUUAACAACUCCACCUCUUCUCUUCUCUUCUCUUCUCUUCUCCUCUCUCUCUCUCUCUUUCCCAUUAUUACCAUUCUUCUUAUUACCAUUUUCUGUUCUACCUCUCUUCCUUACAUUUAUCAACUCCUCCUCUUUCUCUUCUCUCUUCUGCUUCUCUCUUUUCCCUUCUCCAUUUCUUCUCUCUCCCAUUCCUUUCCUUCAUUCAUUCUAUCACUUCUUUCCUCCCCUAUUUUAUUUCUCUUCCCCCUUCCCCUUCUUUACCACAUUCUCUCUUUCUUUCUCUUUAUUCUCCUCCAGAUCAAUGUUCCUCCUCCUUCCUUUUCCUCUUCUUUCUCUUCACCCUAUUCUUCUCUACAUCAAUGCUCCUCCUCCUCCUUUCUUCCUUUUCCUCUUCUUUCUCUUCCCCUUAUUCUUCCCCACAUCAAUGCUCCUCCUCCUCUCUUCCUUUUCCUUUUCUUUUUCCUCCUUCUAUAGUAAAGCAAAGGUUCUCUCAUGCCUUAUGUCUUUCUUAUAGAGAGUAAACAGAGGUGACGAGACAGGCAAAUGGACAUGACAAAGACCUUAGUAAAUACCUUCUUUCUGUCAUUCUAAUCACUUCUGUCUCUUAUGCUUCUGGUACAACUUCAAACUUUGUACCUUCUUUUGUCUUUCUAAUCACUUCUGUCUCUGCUUCUUCUUUUAACAACUCCAAACUUGACUUGUAUCUCUAAAGUACGGUUGAAAGAAU